rnacentral:rRNA from 1 species
CAUCGCCUCUUGCUAACUCAAGAAUAAGAGGUCCAGCCUGCCCUGUGACUAUAUGUUUAACGGCCGCGGUAUCCUAACCGUGCGAAGGUAGCGCAAUCACUUGUCUUUUAAAUGGAGACCUGUAUGAAUGGCAUAACGAGGGCUUAACUGUCUCCUUUUUCAAGUCAAUGAAAUUGAUCUCCCCGUGCAGAAGCGGGGAUAAAUCCAUAAGACGAGAAGACCCUGUGGAGCUUUAGACACUAAGGCAUAUCACGCUAAAUACCCCCUAGUUAAAGGGUUAAGCCAAGUGAGCUCAUGCCUGCAUGUCUUUGGUUGGGGCGACCGAGGGGAAUAAAAAACCCCCGCGUGGAGUGGGAGCACUAGCCUCCUACAACCAAGAGCUACAACUCUAAGAAGCAGAAUUUCUGACCAAAGAGAUCCGGCUAUAGCCGAUCAACGGACCGAGUUACCCCAGGGAUAACAGCGCAAUCCCCUUUUAGAGCCCAUAUCGACAAGGGGGUUUACGACCUCGAUGUUGGAUCAGGACAUCCUAAUGGUGCAGCCGCUAUUAAUGGUUCGUUUGUUCAACGAUUAAAGUCCUACGUGAUC